GAACACUCAACAGUGACAUCAAGAGAACGCUUCAGAGGACAAGCCAAAGGACGAUGCCAUGGUCAAUUUCGUCUCCGGCAGUGGAAUUGUAAACAUACCUAUUGUGACAUCCUCCACCAAUCAAACUAUUGUGAACAGUAGUUGUCAUACGUACAUUUACUCCUAAAUCAUAAAUCCCCCAUUGGCUUGACCUGAAAACCCAUUUCAACCACCUUUUUAUGAUAAUAAAGAUGUAUGCACCCAGUCAAAAUUUGAAUCAGUCUUGAAUCAGUCCAUCCUCCAUCAACUCCGAGUGUACAAAAGCUAAGAAUCAGAAGAACAUGGUACCUGAUUAUGCGCG
rnacentral:lncRNA from 1 species